AAAAAUAAUAGUAAGUGCGAUUGUAUAUCUGCCACUGCAGCAUCAUCUUACGUUGGUGGGAUAUUUGCCUACCAAGGAUUCGACGCUUACGGGGAAUUAGGGUUUGACUCCGGAGAAUGAGCAUGAGAAACAGCUCAUACAUCUAAGGAAGGCAGCAGGCGCGGAAAUUGCCCAAUGUAUCUUUUAUACGAGGCAGUGACAAGAAAUGGUAGGCACUUUUGUGCACUAUCGAGGGUUAGUGGUAUCUUUGCUAACCGUGACUCGUGGGCAAGCUCGGUGCCAGCAGCCGCGGUAAUUCCGACACAGGGAGUUUUCCAUUUGGUUGCUGCAGUUAAAAAGUUCGUAGUUCACUGACUCUUUCACUAUAAGCAAAGCCGAAUGCUCCAAGUUUUUUAGCAGUAUUUAUAGUAUGAAAUUAUAGCGCGGCAUUGAACGUAGUUUGGGGUACUCGAUAGGGACAGGUGAAAUAGGAUGAUCUAUCGAAGACCCACGGUAGCGGAGGCUCCCAACGAAGUCCAAGUGUCACGAUCAAGAACUAAAGUCAGGGGAUAGACGACGAUUAGACACCGUUUUAUUCCUGACCCUAAACGAUGUCGCCUAGCUGAUGGGAUUUUUUUCAUUUGCCAAGAGAAAUCGUAAGGUUUCAGACUCUGGGGGAAGUAUGAUCGCAAGGUUGAAACUUGAAGGGAUUGACGGAAAGGUCCCAGACGUAGGAGUCUGCGGCUCAAUUUGACUCAACACGCAAACAUUACUAGGCCCAGAAGCU
rnacentral:rRNA from 1 species